rnacentral:rRNA from 1 species
UACAGAGGUGGCAAGCGUUGUUCGGAAUUACUGGGCGUAAAGGGCGCGUAGGCGGCCUUCUAAGUCAGACGUGAAAUUCCCCGGCUUAACCUGGGAACUGCGUCUGAUACUGGAAGGCUUGAGUGCGGGAGAGGGAUGUGGAAUUCCAGGUGUAGCGGUGAAAUGCGUAGAUAUCUGGAGGAACACCGGUGGCGAAGGCGGCAUCCUGGACCGACACUGACGCUGAGGCGCGAAAGCUAGGGUAGCAAACGGG